AUUGAACGCUGGCGGCAGGCCUAACACAUGCAAGUCGAACGGGGCAGCAAUGCCGCGUGGCGGACGGGUGAGGAGUACGUAGGAAUCUGCUCUUAUGUGGGAGAUCACCAGGGGAAACCCUGACAAAUACCGCAUGAUCUCCUCGGAGCAACGAACGGGACCGCAAGGCCGCUCGCGUCCGGCUGAGCCUACGUGUGAUUAGCUAGUUGGUAGGGGAAAGGCCUACCAAGGUGACGAUCAGUAACUGGUCUGGGAGGAUGAUAAGUCACACCGGAACGGAGACACGGUCCGGACUCUUACGGGAGGAAGCAGUGGGGAAUAUUGGACAAUGGGGGAAAGCCUGAUCCAGCAAUGCCGCGUGUUUGAAGAAGGCCUUCGGGUUGUAAAGCAUUUUAGCCUGGAAAGAAAGAACUUUGGUUAAAACCUAAAGUCUUGACGGUACCAGGAGAAUAAGCACCGGCUAACUCUGUGCCAGCCGCCGCAGUAAUAC
rnacentral:rRNA from 1 species